GAUUAUUUAUUUGAAGAAAAGUGCAAAUGACAAUUGGUGGGCAGCUCGGGUUGCCGAGAGAGAACUCCAUAAUUUAAAGAAAGAAAAUGUAUAUAAAAGCAAAAAGAACCUGCUGAUCGAGGAACACUGCCACAUAGAAGAAAAAACCAUCUCGAUUGCUGAUGCAAAUUUCAAAUCUACAAGAGGAGUUGACUUAUAUUGUAAAAAAGCCAAAGAUACUGAAGAAAGAGUGAAAAGAACCACUGUUUAUUACCAAGGAAGGGUUAUUCAUUAUAAGAAAAAAGCCCACAAUAAUUGGUGGGCAGCUCGGGUUGCCGAGAGAGAACUCCAUAACUUUAAGAAAGAAAAUGUAUAUAAAAGCAAAAAGUA